AUGGAUUCCACAUGCGCCAGUCCUGUCGCCGUUCCUGGGUUUCAGGGAGAAAUGGGCGCUCCAGAUCCUCAGGUGGCGCUUAUCAUCGUCUUUAGGACGGAUGUCAGGCGCAUCGGAGGAGUCUGGUUAUACAAUCACCGUAUCGAGGCUGUUGCCUGACCGUCACUCCAGGGCUCGGCCUGGUCGCUGCAGCCCGUACCCGCUCCUUUGGAGGUUCCGUCCCUCUCUGUGACUGAAGCGGUUCGAUGGCUGGCUUUCGUAUACCUUCUGUGCGGUGCGGAGAGAGGAACAGAGGCUGGU